CUCUGAGGGAUUUCAUUGGGUUACGGUUGCCAGGGAAACCAUUUGACUUGGUAAUCAAUAUGUUCAGUAUGUCUCUGUUGCUGUGUGCUUAAUUCCUACUGAUACCAUUGCAGAGUGGAUCCAUGGAAAACACUGGGUAGGAAAAAAAGAAAACCUUGAAAUAUUAGCUUCAAUGAAGGAAAAUCUGGAUAACUUAUUCUUAUGAAUCUGAAACAAUUUAAGAAAACAAAUGACUGCUUGAUUUUUGUGCCAAUUGAAUAGAAUGGGAUUCAAUUUUUAAUAGCAAGUUGGCAUGGCUAAGUAAGGUCCCUGGGAUUCUCUUGCAAUGCCGUGAAAGCAAAAGGACAGCUCUCCUAACAAGAAGCCAAGAUUGCUACAGGAGGCUGAGGAGAGGAAAAAGCCCUUUUCUCAUCACCAUUGAUUCCUUCAGUCUCCAUGAUUUCCUCUCAAGAACUGCCAUUUGUUGCUGUAGAUGGCCCAGUUGCAGACGUGCCUGAGUUCAGCCUGUGAGCAAAAAGCAAAUAUGAAUGUUGUAAUUUCAGUGAAGAGUGAGCUGUGGCCUCCUGAAGGGGAGAACAGUAGGACUCGGAAGGAAGAAGAAUGUGGAGGAAGCACAUUGAGAAAAGAUGUUUCUGUGCAGGCACACCAGCUAGUCUGAAUUAUGAAAAUCCAAACAUGGCCGGGUGUGGUGGCUCACGCCUGUAAUCCUAGGCCUUUGGGAAGCCAAGGUGGGUGGAUCGCUUGAGUUCAGCAGUUCGAGACCAGCCUGCGCAACACGGCAAAACCUCCUCUCUAUACAAAGUACAAAAAUUAUCCAGGCAUGGUGGGAGGAUCGCUUGAGCCCAGGAGGUCAAGGCUGCAGUGAACCAAGUUCGCGCCACUGCACUCCAGGCUUGGUGACAAAAUGAAACCAUCUCUCUCUCUCAAAAAAAAAAAAAAAAGCCAAAUAGGCACUGGCAAGUUUCAACCUGAUGAAAUUUCAUUGCCAUUUCUGAGUGAAGAGGACACCUGAGGAACUGACUGUUCCACUUACCAUGAGGCAGGUACCAUCCAGUGCCUAUCUGUGUUUCUAUGCAGACAGUGGAGGAAGCUGGACGCUCAGGUCAGUUUCACUCAUUAUUGGUGUUAUUUUCAGCAUUGCAGGGAACUGAACCAUGGCCCUCUCUGAGCUCCAGGAUAAGUUUUGUUCCAGGAGCAGUGACUUUGUAUUGCCAAAGUUAUCAAAGGCAUCUCUUGUCCACAUGAGGUAGGAGUGGUUCUCGGCCAGCUCAGAGGGAUCUGAAGUGUGAGGUAAUGGCACCCAUACUUCCACCUUCCUCUGUGGACAAUUAGGGGAGAGGAAAGAAAGCAGUAGAAUAUGAUCAACAAGGCAGACACCUAAUAAGCAGGAAUGAAUGCGUGCGUGUUUGAGUGAAAGAGUCAGGGACAGAUAGGCAGAGAUAAAGCAGAGAGACUUGCAGCGCUAAGAUUUAUGAUUUGAUAAACUCGAGUGUUUCAGAGUCCUGCAAUUCAGUACUGAGACUAGAAGCAAGACUCUAAAGUCCAGCUGUCCCCAUAGCACUCCGGCUUCCAUCCACACAGAACUGAUGUGUUCAAUUUCUCAGCUCAGUGCUGUACCAACCAUCGUGGCCAUGGUAUAUUUCUAAGGAGGGAAGACUGGGAAAUGAUGACACUAGCUACUAAACCUGCCAAUACUGCCAUCAGCUAGUGAGCUGAUUU
rnacentral:lncRNA from 1 species